rnacentral:rRNA from 1 species
CAAUAGCGUAUAUUAAAGUUGUUGCGGUUAAAAAGCUCGUAGUUGGAUUUCUGCCGAGGACGACCGGUCCGCCCUCUGGGUGAGUAUCUGGCUCGGCCUGGGCAUCUUCUUGGAGAACGUAGCUGCACUUGACUGUGUGGUGCGGAAUCCAGGACUUUUACUUUGAGGAAAUUAGAGUGUUUCAAGCAGGCACACGCCUUGAAUACAUUAGCAUGGAAUGAUAAGAUAGGACCUCGGUUCUAUUUUGUUGGUUUCUAGAGCUGAGGUAAUGAUUAAUAGGGAUAGUUGGGGGCAUUCGUAUUUAACUGUCAGAGGUGAAAUUCUUGGAUUUGUUAAAGACGGGCUACUGCGAAAGCAUUUGCCAAGGAUGUUUUCAUUGA